UGACUGGCUUCCUUCAUCGUGGAUUGCGGUUGAUUUCAGCGUUCACCCCUUUCGGUCAGAGAGGAUAAUUGGAACUAGGGGGGACAAGUGGCAGGCGGUGCACAGACACCUUCCGUGAUGAAAUCCCACCACUUUCUCUUCAGGACUUGUUUUAAAAUAUACUGGAGCGGAGAUGGCUCUGGUGACCACAGUGAUGUCGAGAUGAGGUGAUACCGGCCUGGAGUAACUGUCUGUGGGUUUCUUGUAGCUGCUGUAGGAGAGGGCAGGGAACUAAUUUACCCGUAACCCAAAGAGAAGAUGGAGUCAGUUAGCCACGCCUGAUUUCAGACCAGCUCUCUCUGGAAAGAAGCGAUGAAUGAGUGCGUGUCCACCGGAGGAAAGCCCCUGGUGCUGUGUCCCCGGCUGUGCUCCCAGACCCGUGAUGGGCAGCGGCAUGAAGAUAGGAACUGAUCUAACGCCCGGUAAAAUGAAGAUUAAAGCCUUCCUUGACCACCCCCGGAACCCAGAGCUGCCCCCUCCCGAAUCGUUUACAGGAUGACACUCCAACCAACUGAGCCACACUGGGCAAGGCUAGGCUCCAUCUUGCUCCGCCUCUCUGCACACAGAAGGGUGUUUUUCCCGGUGGACAGAGGAAUAAGCUGGGGU